rnacentral:tmRNA from 1 species
UAGGUAAACUAUACUCGUAGAAAGUUGCAUGAAUAGUCUUUCGGACAGGGGUUCAAUUCCCCUCGCCUCCACCA